rnacentral:lncRNA from 1 species
UUUUUUUUUUUUUUUUNUUUUUCAUUUUUUGGCUGCCCUGUGGAAUAUGGAGUUUCUGAACCAGGGAUCAGAUCCAAGCCUAGUUGUGACCUAAGCCACAGUUCUGGCAAUGCCGGUUCCUUAACCCACUGUGCCAGACUGGGGAUAAACCUAUGUCUUAUUGCUUCCAAGAUGCAGCCAAACCCAUUGUGCCACAGUGGGAACUCCUGCUGGUAUUUUAUUAUUGCAGCCAAAGCAGACUAAUACACCAGCAAAUAAUUAUGCUAUUUAUACAUAUAUAUUAAAUAAAUGAAAUAAAUUUAAUAUAUAAUUAUUUUGGCUUGUAUCUAAAGCUACAUGUAAGGCAGGGAAGGGGCAUGGAUUAGAAAUAACUAGAUGCUAAGGUUAAGUAAGGAUGGAUUGUGAGCUUAAAAAUCCAAUUUCUCAUUUUCCAUUUAUGUUAUCGAGAUGUGUGAUUGGAAUAGGUAAAAUGCCCAUCUGUGAGCUUGCCUUGUUUUCUAUUAUAGGUCUUUAUCAGUUUCACUUUGGAGUAAAAAAUAUGCUGAUAGGAUUGGUGACUCACCAGUUCCUAUUCAUUUUGUUUCUUUAGCAUCUCUUAAAAAACACUCUUCCUUUCUUUUCCAUUUGAGAACUCAUUUUCCUGCUUUUAAUCUUCCUUAGAAACCUUCCUUCACAUUUAAUACACAUGCAGUCAUUUACUUCUCUGCUUAAACACUUGUGUUAAAAUCCUUUAUUCUGUGGAAAAUUUCACAAGCAAGAUACUCCUCAAAGGCUGAGACCACAGUUUGGACAUGGAUUAAUUUUCAUAUGAUUCUUUGUUCCUCAAACGUUUUGUGGCUCCCUGCCUUUAUAUAAGUUGUCCCCUGAGUCUGGAAUGCCCUUGGUGUCCCUCCUGGAGUGAGUUCCCUUUUUAUAGAUCUCAGCAUUCACAGAUUGUUUUGAAAUAUCUGUUGAUCUGUUCAUCCUGUGGGCCAGGUUGAACCCUUUUGUGGCAGUGUUUGCUAGAGACAUUUGUCAGAUCACCACCUGCAAUGGAACCAUCUUAAAAAUGCUGCUUCCUGGAUACCCUCCAGUCAUACUGACUGAGAACAUUUUAGGGUACAGUCUGGGAAUCUGCAUUUUAAGCAGCAAGCUGUGGUGAUUCUGAAUGGGAGCCCCUCUGCCGUGGAGGAGUGGGAGCAAGUUCACUCAUCUUCUUGAGUCUCUGCCUUUGGUAGGUUAGAAAAAACAUACCAGGAAAGUUAGGAAGAACAGUAAAAUAGAUUUUAAAAAGAAGUCCAGCAAGUUGAAAAAUGCCACUAGAUUUACUAAAAUGCCAACAUUGUUUGACAAUAAGGUGAAUUUACAAACCCUCCGAAAUUCAAGUCUUCGAGAUAUUGGUACAAUUUUGUAUUACUCUGGAAUAGAUAUCUAUGUGAUCAAAUGUCCUUUGUGUUCUUUUGUAAUAAAUGUCAGGAUGACAAAAAAGUAUAGGGACUCUCUCUACUUAGCACUAACGUAAAAGGGGAUUUGAAAUUCCUAGGAGGGCACAACUGCCAUUUUCAUCUGUUGUGACUUCUUGGAUGUUUAGAAGUCUGAAGGGAAUUGUUGGCCAUUGAAAUGGAUGUAAAGCUGUGGAGUCUCAUUAAGUCGGGAUGCUUGGUGAAGAGAAAGGUAGACAGAGAUUUUUCAGCUUCUGAUAACUGGCAUAGAUGACUUUGUAAACUGGCUCUUCAUUAUCUGCAGAAUUGGAUUAAGGAUCCAGUGUUGCUGCAGCUGUGGUGUACGUGGAAGCUGUGGCUCAGAUUCAGUACCUGGCCCAGGAACUUCUGUAUGCUGUGGGUAUGGCUAUAGAAGUUAAAAAAAAAAAAAUAAAAAAAUAAAUAGAGAUACAAAGCUUAUGAAAACAAUCUUCAAAUUAUUUUUUAAAAAAGAUUUCUCAGUGUACUCUAAAACUACAUUAAGGACUUUUUUCUUUAUGUCUUAUAAUUUAGGUAUAUUGUCUUAUUGCAAAGUGAAAGAGUAGUGGACUCCUUUGUCUUGGAGAUGGAGUCCUGGAUUUGAAUCCUGGCUUUGCUCUUUGCUGAAGGCCUUGUAGUGAGAAAGUUUCCUUAUUCUCUAAGAGAUUGCUUUCUGUUUUGUAAAAUGAGGCUAGACAUUAGUUUCCUCUACUUCCCUCAGAGUAAUGAUAAUGAGAUUGGGUAAAAAAGAUUAUAUAUGAGAAUGUGUUAUAAAUGAUAAAAUGCUAAUAAAUCGGUGAUUUUAAGAAAUUUAGUGUUAUCUGUCCUUACCAAAGAAUGAAGUUUCGAGUAAAUAGUCUGAUUUACAGUUGAUUAUAGCUUAACAUUUUAGCCAUGAAAGAAAAUCAUUUUUAUCUAUUUUGUGUCUUACAGGUUUUAAAAAAAGUUUUCUUUGCAGAUAUGAACCUAUUGGGAAAUGAUUUUCUCUAUUUACUUAUCUAUUGGAAAUAUGCAGUAAUUGAGAUCAACUUUUGUUUUAAAUACUUAAGAGAAAUUGGUAUUUUAAAUAGCAGAAUCAUGCCUUUUAUUUUGUACUUGACAAUUUAUUAAAGAUUGGCUGGCUGGCUACUACCUAGAAAGUUUGAAGAAAAUUAAUCAGAUUUGCUACUCAGGAAAGAAUCAUGCUUUUUGUUUAAAAAAAAUGGUUGGAGGUUUCAUUUUAAACUUUAACAAGUCUAAAUGAAGGAUGUAGAAUAUAGUUAAGAAGAAAGUAUUAUACUACGAAUAGUUCUUUCCUAUUCUCUUAUAUUUUUGCUUUCCCCCAUCCCACUCUCCACCCCCACCUCUUAGAGAAUGGACAGCUAUUUCCCUUCAUAUCCUAAUGAGCAAGGCCCACUGCUUCACUACUAUUUCUCUUUUCCUUCCUCUCCUUCCUUGGAAGGAAAAAUG